rnacentral:rRNA from 1 species
ACCAUCCAGCGAACUUGGCAGAGAUGCCUUGGUGCCUUCGGGAACGCUGAGACAGGUGCUGCAUGGCUGUCGUCAGCUCGUGUUGUGAAAUGUUGGGUUAAGUCCCGCAACGAGCGCAACCCUUAUCCUUUGUUGCCAGCGAUUCGGUCGGGAACUCAAAGGAGACUGCCGGUGAUAAACCGGAGGAAGGUGGGGAUGACGUCAAGUCAUCAUGGCCCUUACGAGUAGGGCUACACACGUGCUACAAUGGCGCAUACAAAGAGAAGCGACCUCGCGAGAGCAAGCGGACCUCAUAAAGUGCGUCGUAGUCCGGAUCGGAGUCUGCAACUCGACUCCGUGAAGUCGGAAUCGCUAGUAAUCGUGGAUCAGAAUGCCACGGUGAAUACGUUCCCGGGCCUUGUACACACCGCCCGUCACACCAUGGGAGUGGGUUGCAAAAGAAGUAGGUAGCUUAACCUUCGGGAGGGCGCUUACCACUUUGUGAUUCAUGACUGGGGUGAAGUCGUAACAAGGUAAGCGUAGCGAG